rnacentral:pre_miRNA from 1 species
AGCCUUCUGUAUCCGUGCUGAGAUUUCGUCACACACCAGACCACAAGGGCUGAUGAGACUACUCAACUACUUCACUCC